rnacentral:rRNA from 1 species
UGGGGAAUUUUGGACAAUGGGCGAAAGCCUGAUCCAGCAAUGCCGCGUGUGUGAAGAAGGCCUUCGGGUUGUAAAGCACUUUUGUCCGGAAAGAAAUCCUUGGCUCUAAUACAGUCGGGGGAUGACGGUACCGGAAGAAUAAGCACCGGCUAACUACGUGCCAGCAGCCGCGGUAAUACGUAGGGUGCAAGCGUUAAUCGGAAUUACUGGGCGUAAAGCGUGCGCAGGCGGUUUGCUAAGACCGAUGUGAAAUCCCCGGGCUCAACCUGGGAACUGCAUUGGUGACUGGCAGGCUAGAGUAUGGCAGAGGGGGGUAGAAUUCCNACGUGUAGCAGUGAAAUGCGGUAGAGAUGUGGAGGAAUACCGAUGGCGAAGGCA